AGAGAAAACGCCACCACUGUGCUUUUCAGCAAAAGCAUCUCAGCACCAACACACACACUCCCACACAAAUACACACUUACAUACACACACAGGCUGGCUAAAGGCCAAUCAAUAAUUCACAUAGUGCAGAUUGAAUGUAGAUCAGUGACUCAACAUGGGGGGAAAACACUAUGGCUCUCCACCUCUAUGGCUCUCUGAUUCUCUUCCUUUCUUCACGUUUCUCUGUCUUUUAUCUCUCCCUGCUCCAUUUUUCCCCUCGUCUAUUUUUGCCUCCAUUUCAAACAUCUGUCAUAUUCAUUUUUUUCUUUCUUUCUUCUCAUUUUUCUGCUUCAUUUCAUCUAUGUCUCAUCUUUCUCUGCUUCACUCUGCCUUCACUUUGAAUCCCUUUUGGUAUUUUGGGUUGGUGUUUUGCUGAGCAGUUCUGCUAUUUUUCUUGUGUUACCUCUAUUAAAGCUCUUUAAGUCUCCUUAAAAACACUGCUAAAGACAGUCUGUAGGUAAACAAGUUGAAUUGGUUCACUGAAUCUAGCUACCAAUAGCAGAGCUAUCACCAUCAGCCUUCACUCCUCCUUGCAGGCUGAUGCCCACAUGCCUGUGCUGGUUAUGCAUUGUAGUGCAAUGAGUUAUACAGCAACUUAACCAGAAGCAGUUCCAGUGAGCUAACACUCACCAUCAUUUAAACUUAAUUUUUAAGUAGACAAUGAACAUUAAUCCUAUAUAUUCAAAAAAACAAAAGUUAUAAAACUCAUAAAAGUUAAGCCUGACUUUAUCCCGUCGUUAGGUGACCUGGAAUACGUUGAAGAAGUCUGCUUUAGUUGUUGUAAGUUGUUGAAGGAGGGCAUCUAUUUUUUUUAAAUUGCAUCGAUAAAAGCAAAUCUAAAAAAAAACACCAGCUACAGUAAGGGGUUGACAGGGAAGAUCCAACACUGUUGAAUCACCAAACCUCGGGUUCAAGUUGAGUCUCAGGUCCUCAAUGCUCAAGUUUGAGUCUAGUCCAGAUCACUAAAGAGGAGUCAAGUCAGUGGCUUUUUAUUAUUUUUUCACCUUAAAUUACUUACUGUGUGAACCUGAACUAACUAUGUCCAGCCUUUAUCAAUAAAUAGGUCCAGAUACUCCUUAUUACCUUCAUGAAAUUUGGGUCCUAACACGAGUCCCAAAAAUCACUGCUCAAGCACUACAGUCCUGGCUUAAAGCAAGUAGUUCACAGGUCAUUUGAAUGGAAGCCCAAAACACUCAAAAGACAAUCAAACUUGAGCUCACUUUUUGAAACGUAGAGAUUACACAGUCCACUGGUUAACAAGUUGAAUGGUUUGAUGACUGUGGCUAACAAUAGCAGAGCUGGCACCACCAUGCUUGUGCCAGUAGUGGUUUAAACAGCCUAAAUUCAACUUUAUCUGCAUUUCCUAAGUCGAAAUACUGACAAACAUGCACUGCAUUUGUGAUCUGUGCUCAUUUACAUCUGGGUGGUAGAGCUUUAUAGCUCUAUGGUAGUAUGAAAGCCUUUUAUUGCAGGCAGCUAAAUAGCUUGGACACAACAUAUGGGCAGUGUUUCAGCCUAAAAUAAAGAAAAUUUAACUAAUUUGUUUGAACAUGAACAUAGCUGGUUUCACUCAUUUUCCCUCUCAUAAACUCCUACUUUAAAUUUUCAUUUUUGGAAUCAUUUUACUACCAUUCAUCCACCAACAGCUCCCAAUUUCCCCUUUUUUUUAAAACUUUCCGUACCCCCUUUUUCGUCUUCUCUCCAACCCAUUUCUCCACCUCUGGCACAUCCUCCAAUCCUCUUCUACUACAUGAAGCACAUAAAGUUUUAAUUUUUGUCCUUUCAAAAAACACUCAUCAUUCCUUCUCCUCCAUCAAGCAACUCUUGUUUCUUUUUAAAGCUCACAGCACACUAAAAUGCUCCCAUCUGAAAGCUUUACUCUGACAGUUCCCCCGUCUUGACCUCUUCAAACACACACCGGCUUAUUAUAAUAUGCAACAGAAAUCACACACAGCGGUGGCAGCCCACUCACAGAGUUGAGGAGAGGACAGCAGGGGCAUCACAUUUCAACACAGUGAGAUCCAGACAGACAAACACACACACACACACACACGCACACACACACACAGAAGGGAAAGACUGUGCGGAUCACAUAACUGGAGUAGAGUUCUGUCAAAACAACCAUUACUGGGGUGCUCGACUGUCUGUCAGGGUGUAGCAUCCAAGAGGGAAAUGGACAGAUACUAGUGUGUUUAUUUGGAUUCAUAAAAGAAGAACAAGUUUGGCUGUCUGUAGAUGGCGUUUGAAGUUUGUGAUAUCUUAAAAUAACAGAUAUUUGGUUUGUAUUGUUCUCCAUAUGUACUACAAAAUAGCAGUGAGAAUAGUUUAUGAUGGAAAUGUGAUUUUAGAGUACAUCAAUAAUGACUGUUCAAUUUUCAAAGCUGCUAUUGUAAAAACAAGAUAAGAUGCCGUAUAUGACAGUGAUGGAAACUGAUAGGAUUUUCACGAAACUAACACCAUUACUGAUUCUGUGUAUCACUCCAUUUCUUUAUUGAUUUCCUUAUCAGGUCUUGUGUAUCACCUGCCUUUGUGGGUUUCUGUGCCAACAACACUGAUUGUAUUAAAAGUUUACUUUCACAACUUUCCUAAGGUGGGAAAGCCUGGCUUUUGAUUGGGCCUGUCAAGGUUACAUUCUAGGUACAGCCUCUGACUGGUGGAUGAACCUUAAAAAUGGUGGCAGCCUUCCUUUGGCUUAGCAAUCCACAGCAAUAAUGCUAUGUCUAAAAUCAGUGCAUAAAUCAUCACAGAUUACCUUUGUUUUUGAGGGUUUGGGUCGGAACAGUCUCUGAAAAUACACAGAUUUCCUCUGCAGUGUCCUUGAAUGACCCACAAACACACAGAAUUAAUCACCAGAAGUUUGCCGGUCUCACGAAGCGAUUGGAUUUUACAGUAAGUCAGUACAUCCUACAGUUCUAUUUUUAAAGCUGCUAUUGUAACGCAAGGAGGAUCUUUGAUAUUUACGUUUUGGACCAAUAUCUUCUUCUGUCCACCAUAAUUACUGCCUUGGUAGUCCGUCAUACAGACUGCCUCCUGAAAUGCAUCACAUUUUUAAAUUAUUUUCAGGUGUAUUCUGAGGACAAAAACAUCUUAUAUCUUGGAAAAUAUAAUUAUUUGUAACUAAUUAUUGCAAAUGUACUACUUUCAGAUUACCUACAAAACAUCAAACAGCCAAACCAUCAGAUAAGGCUAGAUGAAAUACUUCCUUGACUCCGUAAAACCUGCUGAAUCUAAAGAAGUGCUGUAGGACAUGAGUAAGUUUUGUUGCACGUUUAAUGUGUUAAAUAUAAAAGAUAUUAUUUUUGGUCCAUUUAUUUCAACAAAUUAUAACAGAUAACAGUAAAUUCUGUUAUAUCAUAGAGUCAGCAUUAUCAAGCAUAUCAUCAUGUCCCCAGAUUUUAUAAUGAGGGGGAGAGAGAGAGAGAGAGAGAGAGAAAGAGAGAGAGAGAGAUUGCACAUUGGAGCGUUAACAUCCCAAAUGGUGCUUUUUCUGCCAGCCACUGGGCUGCAAAUGUGUGUGUGAGUGUGUGCACUGUGCACGUGUGGGAGUGUAUGUGCCGGGAUGCAGCCAACUCCCUGAGGUAAGUGAUCCUGCUGAACAGGUGUUACAUCUGCCCCCACCCUUCAACCCACAGACACACACACACACACACACACACACACACACACACACACACACACACACACACACACACACACACACACACACACACACACACACACACACACAGAGGCUAUCAGAGCUGCCGUCAGCCAUGACUGAUCUGAACAGAUCUGCUCGUUCCACACCAGACGGAUGAAUCUGAGCCACCAGCUGAUCAGUCAGCUGAUCAGCGUGCAUGUAUGUGUGUGUGUGUGAGAGAGAGUUCCUGCAUCAUUUAUGUUUAUUUAUACAUGGAUGAGUGUUGUUUCAAAUACUUUCACACACACACCUUUAGGACUACCUGUCUUUCCAUGCAUAUGCACGUGUAUGUGUUUGUGUCUGGUCACGGCCUUGUACACACACCAGUGAAUUUUUUGAAUACUAUACAGUGAUUACUUAGGAUGUUAGACAAGUUGUUGGACAAAACAGAUGAGACCUAACAGCAACAAGUUACUACAAAUAUGAUGAUACUAACCGACUGAAUCAUUAUCACUAUGAGUAUCUGUAUCAUUAUGAGUAUCAUCAUAAUCAGUAUCAGUAUCAGAUUCAGUACCAUUAUCAGCAUCAGUUUGAGUAUCUGUAUCAUUAUCAGCAUCAGUACCAGUAUUGGUGUUAGUAUCACCAUCAGUAGCAGUUUUAUUGUUAGUAUCAGUAUUGGUAUGAGCACUGGUAUUGGUAUUAGCAUUGGUAUCAGUAUCAGUAUUGGUAUCGUCUAUGAAAAACCAACAUAGGUCAAUGCCUUAGUAUUUAUCCCCCGUCUCCUGAAAUGCUAGAAUCAAAUACUAGGGUAUGAGCUGUGCAUACUUAAGAUUUUGAGACUUACAGACUUUGUCGCAUUGGUCAUCUCAGGAGUAGACUUUUUCCCAAAUUAUGACCUCCAUGCUCAGUUGGUCUCAGGUGCACAUACGUUCCCAGGACAAGGUGACAUUUUACCUUCUGAUUAUCCCAGAGGGACAAGGGUGGAGUUUGGGUUGGGAGUCUGUCUUUAAUCUCUGUCCUCUCUGUCUUUUUGCCAAACUCUGUACAUCUUUCCCUCUCUCCAUUUGUCUUUUCCUCACAUGAUAGCGGGCAGCGUGUCCAGAACCCAGCUGGGGAAGUGAGAAACCCACACAGACGACAAACACCCGGGACAGAUGGUCAGAGAGAGAAAGAGAGGAAGGGAGAGGUGCACAGAGUAAAGUCUACUACCACUCCAUCAGAUACUUUUCUUCUCUUAUAAGAGAGAUAGUUUUCUGUGGAAAGAGAAGGACACGAACCACUUAUUCAGACUGAUGCUUUCGCUAAUUUAAAUCUAACUGUGUUAAAUGAUACUUUUUUAUCUUAAUUUGUAAAGAUGAUGAUCUUGAGAUAGUUUUGAUCACUCACUGGUGUCCAGGGAUGCCUGGUUGAUGCAGCACUUGCACUUUUCAGGAGGUUCAGUUGGGUUGCUUCAUGCAGGCCCAGUUUAUGUAAAAUCAUUAUCAUCCAUGACUUGAAGUUUUUGAUUUUCACAUUUUUGAACAGGCUUCUCUGGUACCUACAGGUCCUGGAUAUGCAAAUUUUUUGUUCUCUAAUAAGAUAAUCAAGAUCAUCUUGGUCACGCACUGAUGUCCAUGGAUCCCUGGAUAAGGCAACAUUUUUGCUAAUCAUUGUUGCCUGCAGGAAAUAUGACUGAUCUGAACAUGCCAACCUAAGAUCAGCUUUUGCGAUGCAGUCACCUGCUGACAUCUGUCUGAUCAGUUGUACCUGUACACUUAGUUUGUUGGUGGUAGCUUAAACUCUUCAUCAUUAUACUUCGAAACCAACUACAUGUUACUUUUAACUUGUCUGCUGAGCAGUAUGGGAGCUUCUAUGGGCGGUAUGUGCCAUUCAAAAGCAUGAUAUGGUUAUUUUCCUUGACAGUCAGGAGAAGAUGGUGUGGCAGCUUUACUAAGAUGUGCCAAAAUAACAAAAAAAAGACAUGAUCAAAACAAAAUAACCCAUUAAACAUGGACUGUAAACACAACAAAGUCUGCUGGGUCUAUAUGGUGGACUAAGAAAUCCCAAAGUUCAGGCUCACUGUAUCAAAUUUAAAAAGGUAAAAACACCAUUCUCUCCUCAGUACCAGAAUUGUCUUAAACCAAAAGAGGAAAAACAGGAAAGAGAGAAGAAAGAAGAUGGAGGACAUUGAAAGCCAAGUUACAGGAGAAAAGAAGUACUGCAUAUGAGAGGAGAUGAAAGGAGCAAAGAGAGAGAAAAAAAAGAGAGACUGUGGAAGUGCAAGCAGAGAGAGAGAGGGAGGGAUGGAGAGAGGUAUAAUGAAGUCCUCUGGGUCUCUGGUGGAAGAAGCCACAGCGCCUGCCAGCCAGCACAGCCUGGCUCUGUACAGAUGGCAGCAUGCUGGGAUACGCUCAGCUCACUUUCAAAUCAGGAAGUGGAUGUUCUUUCAAUUUAAUAUUUUGUUUUUUAUGUAAAAAAAAAAAAAAAAAAAGGACGGAGACUCUUUUAUCAGGAAGUCUCUGAAGCUGCUUCUAUAUUUAUACCAGGACAGUUAAAACCAGUGAGUUUACUUCUUGCUUUGCCGUACCAGGUGAUGCUGAGGAGUUCUGGAAGUUACUAUCACAGUUAUCUUGCGGAAAGCUGUGAUGCCGUUGGGAAGAAACAACCUUUAGAAAGAGUGUAAAUACUGGAUCGUCGUAGGAACAGGUUGUGUUUGAGUGAAGGACAGCCAAAGAGAGACAGUAGAAAUUUAGCAAGGUUGCAACCAACAACUGCUGCAACGGGAACUAAAACCUCCACCAUGGAGUCAUACCAGCGCCCCGAUACAUCAUUUCAACUCAAUCAAAUCCAAAGUGAGACGAGCACCAUCCUCGUUGACCCAAUCACUGUAUCUCAAAGCAACCAUGAAGCAGUCAUCAGACAUGUAUGUUCCUGUUCUGAAACCAAAAACAAAAGCCUUUCCUCCUUCCCUCAAACAUGCGGAAAAGAAAAACAAACUAUUUUGGUCAACUCGAGUUGAAUUCCUAAAAAUAUUUUUACUUCUGCAGAGAGGCCAAAACAUGUUAGCAGAAACAUGAAGAACCCUCAUGAAGGCUUUCAGCCAAAACAUCCCAGCUCCUCUAUUUCAUAGUAACUCUGUUUCAAACAUGCACUGGUCUCAGGAUAUGUUUGAAUUCCCUUCUGGGAUCAAUAAAGUAUAUAUCUAUCAUAUCUAUCUAUCAUAUCUAUUUAUCAGCUUAAUUUCAGAUGUCUGAUAUUAGAUUGCUCAAUCCGUCUUAAUGUCUAAACUGUUGGUUUAGGACUACAUGUUCAGUAUAGUGGCGACCGAUAACAGUUUUUCAACCGCCAAUAUCAAUACCAAUACCAAUAAUAAGACAGCAGGUUGGCCGAUAUCUAAUGGCAAUCACAUUGUUGUUUUUUCUUUUACAUUUUAUGCAUUUGACAAAAUUUAGUAAUACUGAUAUAUGAGAGACAAACCAAAAUUUUAUGCACAGUGUCCUUUGUCCCGUGGAAGAAAGUGAUAGCCAAUUAGGGAGCUAGCUGACUAAAAAGGCAUUUGCAGUAAAUGCAACCAUGGCAACAAUGGUAAACUGAGAUUAAGAAAAAUGCAGAAUUAACUUAUCGAUUUAUGACUACAAGGUAAGUGUUUACACAGCAUGUUCGAUAAUAAAUACUACAACCAAAAUGACAAGGUAGAGGGUACUAUAGGGGGUUAGGCAGCUAUCAAUAGUUAGCACCCACAGUCCGCCAUGUUUGUCUACUCUAAAUUAAUCAUUUGUCGUCGUGUGUGGGGUCUCUGAUGUUUCCAAAAUCAGUUGAGAUUUUCUCAUUCCGCACCCUCACCCUUAUCCCUCUCCAUCUUUUCCUCUCCACCUAUCUUCUUAUCCUCAGGGCUCUGAUGAGGGUUUGUCAUGCCUGGAGCUUUAGUAGAUCCUCAGAGAAGCUUCACCAAAUCAAUGACAGCAACAAGUUUAACAAUGUCCAACUAAGAUCUACGCCAUGGCUAUAAUUAUCUAACUUUCCUCUUUAACUUGGAAGCAUGUUGCAGUGAUUUUUUUGUAUUUUAUCCCUGUUGUAUUCUUGAGAUUGCAAAGCAGGUGUGGAUCGAAAUCAAUGCAUAAAGCUAAUUUGCAGCUGAAGUGGCCGUGCUGAACGGUCACCCUGUUUUUAAUCAUGAAUCCCCAGGAGUGUACUGCCACAGUACUGCGAGUUCACCUUAAAAGACCCAAAGCUGGAGACCUGGUGCUCUUUUAGUCUUAUAACAAACGCAAACCUGCCUCAGACUCUGAAUAUGUCACUAUGUCAACAUCAAAAUUCAGUCUUCUUUGAGAGUUAUAACACAUUCAUUAUCCUUUUACUUAAUGAAUAUCCACUUAGGUAAAUUCCCACAGUUCCCAGAAUGCCUGGCAAAUGCUCCGAGACUGCAGAUAAAAGGGUAGUUCAGUAACUUCAGACAGUGAUUAAUAAAUAAAUAAAUGAAAUUAGUCAGAGUCAAAGAGCUUUUAAAGUCAAGGAAAAAAACAAGUGUUACUCAUUGUUUCUAAAAGCAUAACUCAUCCUCUGACUUCGCUUCGUUCUGCAUUCAUGAAACAAUAAUUGGUGAGGACAAAUUUCUCACUCUGCCUCUUCAAAUAUUUCUCCCAUUGUGAGAAAUUGGUGCAGAAUAUGACAGGUGCCAAAUAAAGUGAGCAACUGUCCCUGUUCAACUAAGAGCUCCAGUUGGUUUUUCCAGUUUUUUUUUUUUUUUUUUUUUUUUGCAGAAUCACACAUUUGUUCAUGAAUAUAAUGUUCACAGCAAAAAUUCUUUCUUUGUUUUUAAUGCUGACAUACAGAGGAGCUUAGUGCAAAAAAGAAUGUAGUUUUAAGAGCUUAGAUUCCUCAAGUCGACACCAGCUUUCUUGAUAAGCUACUGGAUGUUUUUAUGGGUGCAUCCAAAACUUAAUAGGCCAAAGUUUACAGACUUCAGACCAAAUCUAUAAAAUCUUGGACCUCCAGAUGGUUUGAAACCAGUCAGCGAGAGUAGUUGCAGGUCAUUGCUGCUCCUCUUCCUGCACGUCUCCAGUGUGAUGAAACUUAGGCUGUCACGAUUCAUCUCCAGAUUUCAACAGUCAAUCACCAUCAUUUUGCAGCAUUUUGCAGCUCUAUGCUGAUUCAUACCUUCUAAUUUGUGCUCUGUCAGAUUUUGUGUUGCGGUUGCUCGCUGACAUCAUCUGCGCCCGUAAGCUCAGCUCUUGGACUGUAGCUCAAACUUAAACACUUUGGUGAUAUUUUCAUCUCUUUUGAUGCAAAUGUUACUUUUGACUUGUCAGCCAUUGAGGUGCCUUUGAAAAGCACAGCUGAGCGGUUAUUUCCCAUCAAGAAGCAGAAGGACGCUGCAGCAGCUUAACCAUACUGAGUUGAUGAAAUGGCAUAAAAGAAAUGAGUUCAUUUGGACCUUAAUCAUAUUGAGAUAAUUGUGUUUAAUGCUAACAGCCCUCAAUCAAACUAAUUCAAACUCUGCGUGUUAUCACCAUUUUAAAAGUGUCUUUAGGACAUCUUCAGACCUUGAAAAAACUGCCCCAGAACCACCCACUUUGUCUUUAAAAGCACAUGAUAUACAGUUAUCACCUCUUCAGACGAAGACUUAAACCACUUUAGCAUUAGAUUGCGCAGGUGAUCAUAGAGUUUUGGCUGAUCAGUGUAUAUCUGCAGGUUUGAAGACAUUAGGUAGGGCUUAAGUGGAUGCUAAAAAUCUAACAAAAUAUUUAACCACAACUCUCAGGGGAAAACGUAUUUUUUUCUGUACAACAUGUACGAAGGAUGAAAGAGCAACCUAGCCAGUAUUAUUUUCUGUUGGAAUUACACUCUCUUUGCCAGAUUUUUCUACUCAUUAUCGUUGUCUUGAAUAUUCCUGCAUGUCUCUUUUUGCAUAAAAAUACAAAGGCAUAUUUCUUGUUAGUUUCAAAUUGCUUGUGAUGGAGGCAUGGCUCCAGGAUAGUAAGUUUAUUUUAAUUGUCUGCUAAAAUAAAGAAAAAAUUCACAGUCUUCUGUUCAUAACUUUGUGAUCUUGG